rnacentral:rRNA from 1 species
UACAGAGGGUGCAAACGUUGCUCGGAAUUAUUGGGCGUAAAGCGCACGUAGGCGGUCAUGUAAGUCAGGAGUGAAAGCCCUCGGCUUAACCGAGGAAGUGCUUUUGAAACUGCAUGACUUGAAUACUGGAGAGGGUCGCGGAAUUCCCGGUGUAGAGGUGAAAUUCGUAGAUAUCGGGAGGAACACCAGUGGCGAAGGCGGCGACCUGGACAGAUAUUGACGCUGAGGUGCGAAGGCGUGGGGAGCAAACAGG